AAAUUUGAGAGUUUGAUCCUGGCUCAGGAUGAACGCUGGCGGCGUAGAUAAGGCAUGCAAGUCAAGCGGAUUAUUUUUUGAACGAGGCUGAGAUUACAUCAAGGCCGAGGGACGAAGAUGAUUAGCGGCGAACGAGUCAGUAAUACCUUGGUACGUACUCCGAAGACGGGCAUAACCAGCCGAAAGGUUGGCUAAUUCCCGAUAGUCCCGCAAGGGUAAAGGCGCAAGCCACUUUGGAAGCGGCCUAGGUCCGAUCAGCUUGUUGGUGAGGUAAUGGCUCACCAAGGCGACGACCGGUAGGGGGCCUGAGAGGGUGAUCCCCGACGACGAAACUGAGACACGGUUCGUACACCUACGGGUGGCAGCAGUCGAGAAUAUUCGACAAUGGAGGAAACUCUGAUCGAGUGACGCCGCGUGAAGGAAGAAGGGCUUCGGCCUGUAAACUUCUUUUCCUUGGGAAGAACUCUGACGGUACCAGGGGAAUAAGGGACUGCUAAAUUUGUGCCAGCAGCAGCGGUAAGACAAAUGUCCCGAGCGUUAUCCGGAAUAACUGGGCGUAAAGAGCGAGUAGGAGGAUUCGUUAGUCCUGCGUGAAAUCCAAGAGCUCAACUCUUGGGCGGGCGCGAGAAACGGCGAAUCUUGAGUCUGUCAGGGGCAAGCGGAACGUGCGGUGUAGGGGUGAAAUCCGUUGAUAUCGCACGGAACACCAAAAGCGAAGGCAGCUUGCUGGGACAGUACUGACUCUCAAUCGCGAAAGCGUGGGCAUAAAAAAGGAUUGGCAUGGGUAUCCAACUUUAUGAUAAAAUAAAGUUGGCAAACUAGUCCCUUCUAUUAGAAACAAUAGAAUGAAAACUUGGCUAUAUCGGUAGAGACCCGUUUUUAAGACGGAAAAUACCGAGGGAAGUUUUGGAGACUUAUAUCUAUAUUUAUAUAUGGUGAAUAUUAGACAUAAAGAGAAAAAAUUAAUUUUUUCUCUUUCAGAUCGUCAAAGAAAUAUUCUAAUAGGUUCUUUACUUGGAGAUGCGAAUAUACACAAGAAAGGUAGAGAAUCUAGAGUGUUCUUUAAACAUUCUAUAAAUCAAUUGCCACUACUUGAAUGGAAACGGCAGGAGUUUGAUGAAAUAACGGGCAUGGCGAUUGAUAGAUUUAAGCAGAAUGUUAAAGAUAAACAAUAUGAAUUUGUUCAAUUUGUGACACUAACUCAUUCAUCAUUUACUCAACUACAUAGAAUAUUCUACAAGAAAAAAAAGAAAGUCGUACCAAAAAAUAUCCAUCAACUGCUAAAAGAUCCAAUAUCUUUAGCAGUAUGGAUUAUGGAUGAUGGAGCAAAAGACAAUCUGGGUUUAACUAUUCAAACACAUAGUUUUAGAACCAAGGAGGUAGAGAGAUUAAUAUUAAUGUUAAAAAAGAAUUUUAACUUGAUUACUACUCCAAGGAAAAAUAGAGGCAAAGUUAUUAUUUAUUUUCCUAAAUCACAAAUAAGUGAUUUAUGGAAAAUAGUUAAAAUAUAUAUAUUGCCUGAAUAUAGAUAUAAGUUUCCAGAAUCCCGUAGAGACUAUACGCCGAGCUCCGUUAUAAGGAGAUGAUAUAGUCCGAACUCUAUGGCGACAUAGAGAGUACAGCAGAAAUGUCUGUACCAGUCAUAUUAAAUGAUUAGUAACAAAUUGUAGAUACCCUUGUAUUCCACGCCCUAAACGAUGCGCGCUAGCUAUGGCGGGAAUCGACCAUCGCUGUGGCGAAGCUAACGCGUUAAGCGCGCCGCCUGGGAAGUACGGCCGCAAGGCUGAAACUCAAAGGAAUAGGCGGGGACUAGCACAAGCGGUGGACCAUGUGGUUUAAUUCGAUAGUAAGCGAGGAACCUCACCAGGGUUUGACAUACUGGAGAAAGCCGAUCGAAAGAUUGGUUGUCCCGCAAGGACUCUAGUACAGGUGCUGCACGGUUGUCGUCAGCUCGUCACGUGAGUGGUACGGUUGAGUCCCGUAACGAGCGCAACCCUUGUUGUCUGUUACAAGUGUCAGACGAGACUGCCGAGGCAACUCGGAGGAAGGUAAGGACGACGUCAAAUCAGCGUGGCCUUUAUAUCCUGGGCUACACACGUGGUACAAUGGACGCUACAACGGGUUGCGAAGCCGCGAGGCGGAGCUAAUCCUAUCAAAAGCGUCCCCAAUUCGGAUUGGAGGCUGCAAUUUGCCUCCAUGAAGCCGGAAUCGCUAGUAAUCGCGGAUCAGAACGCCGCGGUGAAUACGUUCUCUGGUCCUGCACUCACCGCCCGUCAAGUCAAAGGAGAUGGGAGUACGUGAAGCCCAACCUCGUGUUGGGUUAGCGUAAACUCAUUGAUUAGGACUAAGUCGUGGUUUAGAAAAUAAAAAUUGCGACCUGU
rfam:Parcubacteria group bacterium RIFCSPLOWO2_02_FTLL_40_12 rifcsplowo2_02_scaffold_2398, whole genome shotgun sequence.